UACGGAGGGUGCAAACGUUGCUCGGAAUCAUUGGGCGUAAAGCGCAUGUAGGCGGUCGGCUAUGUCGGAUGUGAAAGCCUCGGGCUUAACCCGAGAAGUGCAUCCGAAACUGGCCGGCUUGAGUACGGAAGAGGGUCUCGGAAUUCCCGGUGUAGAGGUGAAAUUCGUAGAUAUCGGGAGGAACACCAGUGGCGAAGGCGGAGACCUGGGCCGAUACUGACGCUGAGAUGCGAAAAGCGUGGGGAGCAAACAGG
rnacentral:rRNA from 1 species